rnacentral:rRNA from 1 species
CAAGUCGAGCGGCAGCGCGGGGCAACCUGGCGGCGAGCGGCGAACGGGUGAGUAAUGCAUCGGAACGUGUCCAUGUCGUGGGGGAUAGCCCGGCGAAAGCCGGAUUAAUACCGCAUACGCCCGAGAGGGGAAAGUGGGGGACCGCAAGGCCUCACGCGAUUGGAUCGGCCGAUGUCCGAUUAGCUAGUUGGCGGGGUAAAGGCCCACCAAGGCGAUGAUCGGUAGCUGGUCUGAGAGGAUGAUCAGCCACACUGGGACUGAGACACGGCCCAGACUCCUACGGGAGGCAGCAGUGGGGAAUUUUGGACAAUGGGGGCAACCCUGAUCCAGCCAUUCCGCGUGAGUGAAGAAGGCCUUCGGGUUGUAAAGCUCUUUUGUCCGGAACGAAACGGGUAGCGUGAAUAUCGCUGCCUACUGACGGUACCGGAAGAAUAAGCACCGGCUAACUACGUGCCAGCAGCCGCGGUAAUACGUAGGGUGCGAGCGUUAAUCGGAAUUACUGGGCGUAAAGCGUGCGCAGGCGGUUUUGCAAGCCGGAUGUGAAAUCCCCGGGCUUAACCUGGGAAUGGCAUUUGGGACUGCAAGGCUGGAGUGCGGCAGAGGAGACUGGAAUUCCUGGUGUAGCAGUGAAAUGCGUAGAUAUCAGGAGGAACACCGAUGGCGAAGGCAGGUCUCUGGGCUGACACUGACGCUCAUGCACGAAAGCGUGGGGAGCAAACAGGAUUAGAUACCCUGGUAGUCCACGCCCUAAACGAUGUCACUGGUUGUUGGGGGUUUGACACUCU